rnacentral:rRNA from 1 species
AGCGAACGCUGGCGGCAGGCUUAACACAUGCAAGUCGAGCGGGCAUAGCAAUAUGUCAGCGGCAGACGGGUGAGUAACGCGUGGGAACGUACCUUUUGGUUCGGAACAACUGAGGGAAACUUCAGCUAAUACCGGAUAAGCCCUUACGGGGAAAGAUUUAUCGCCGAAAGAUCGGCCCGCGUCUGAUUAGCUAGUUGGUGAGGUAAUGGCUAACCAAGGCGACGAUCAGUAGCUGGUCUGAGAGGAUGAUCAGCCACAUUGGGACUGAGACACGGCCCAAACUCCUACGGGAGGCAGCAGUGGGGAAUAUUGGACAAUGGGCGCAAGCCUGAUCCAGCCAUGCCGCGUGAGUGAUGAAGGCCCUAGGGUUGUAAAGCUCUUUUGUGCGGGAAGAUAAUGACGGUACCGCAAGAAUAAGCCCCGGCUAACUUCGUGCCAGCAGCCGCCGUAA